rnacentral:rRNA from 1 species
UACGGGGGGGGCAAGCGUUGUUCGGAAUUACUGGGCGUAAAGGGCUCGUAGGCGGCCAACUAAGUCGGAUGUGAAAUCCCCAGGCUUAACCUGGGAACUGCAUCCGAUACUGGAUGGCUUGAAUCCGGGAGAGGGAUGCAGAAUUCCAGGUGUAGCGGUGAAAUGCGUAGAUAUCUGGAGGAAUACCGGUGGCGAAGGCGGCAUCCUGGACCGGCAUUGACGCUGAGGCGCGAGAGCGUGGGGAGCAAACCGG